UUUAACCCCCCCAUCCCCAUCCCCGCUCCCUGGGGUCACCCCAACCCUUAUUUAAGUGCCCCCCAACCUUCCGGGGAGGGGAAUCUGGGGGGGGGGGUUGUCCCUUCCCACAGGGUAGAUGCUUUGGGGUGAAGCACCCUAAAACACCCGGGGGGGGUGUCAUACCCCAGCACCCAUCGCCACCCAGCCAUGACACCCCCAGGGUGAUGCGGGGACCCCUUGUAUGGUCCCUACAUCCAGCCAGACAUGGGGGGGGUUGCUCAAUUUGGGGGGGGGUCCCCCAGCACCGUGGACCCCAAUACCCGAACCGGAGCCAUUUGCAUUGCAGGGACCGGUGACAUCCCCCCGCCCCCCAAAACGUGCCAGCACCGGGACGAGCCUGGACCACUGGGACAAGAUGCAGGAGAGCUACGAGAGCGUCAUCUCCCUGGCUGAGGAAAUCGCCAUCAGUUGGCCACGGAUCACCGCCUUUGCCGAAUCACACCGAAGGAGGGGGUUGGUGUCCGGUAAGUCACCAAUUGUGCUGCUGGUUGGUGCCGGUGAUGACCAGGAGCAUGUUUUGGAAGCCCCAAAACCA
rnacentral:lncRNA from 1 species